UACGAGGCGGCAGGAUACCUCCCUGCUGCCCCUUCGCCCGCUUGGCUGCCCGUGCGCCCUUAUUUCUUUAAGCCAGGGAUUCUCAACCUGUGGGUCCCCAGAUGUAAUUGGACUUCAACUCCCAUAAUUCCCAACCAAAGACCACUGGGGCUGGGGAUCAAGUCAAGUUUUAUUUACGGUCCUAGACCAAACAAUCCAUGCAUGCAAACAGCAGAACAAUUUAUAGAAAACUCUAUAGGUUCUCAUUAUACAUCUUAAAAGCAAUAUAACAAAAUUUGGCUACGGAGUUAAAAUUUAAAACAUUUUCAUCAGAAAGUAAGAAUUUAACAAGUUGUUCAGCAGAUCGAUCUGUCUGUUUACAGACCAGAGGUAAAAUUAAGUGCUCCCUUGGUUGCCUAUGUAAUUUACAGGAUAAUAGAAUAUGCUCAAUAGAUUCUAUUUCCCCACUGCCGCAUCUGCAGUAGCGUUCUUCCAAGGGAACACCACUGUAUCUCCCGGCUAAUAAUGCAGAGGGAAAAGAAUUUGUUCUUGCCCUUGUAAAUGCCCACAGGGAGCUGGGGAUUAUGGGAGUUGAAGUCCAAUAACAUCUGGGGACCCACACGUUGAGAAACCCUGCUUUAAGCAAUCGGCGUUGCGCCUUUGGCUCUCAGAUCCCCCGCCAUGUGUAUUUGCUGUUUCCUCUGUCGGAGCCUGCCUGUGGCCGCUGGAUAAACGAGGGAUUCUGUCAAAUCCCCCUGCCGCCCCCUCCCUGAACGUAGCUGCUGCUGCUGCAAAAAGCUUUAAGAAGCCUUUUGCCUGCCGCCCGCUCCCCGAAUGUAGCUGGCUUUGAAACUAUACUUUGCCUCAAUCCAGUCACUUCUCUCUCAGCCUAACCUACUUUAGAGGGUUGUUGUGAGGAGAAACUCAUGUAUGUAGUACACCGCUCUGGGCUCCUUGGAGGAAGAGCGGGAUAGAAAUGUUAAAUUAAAUAAAUAAAUAAAUAAAUAAAUAAAAUCGCUUGAGUCCAAACGUUUGCACACAUUAAAACUGGUGGAACUGACCCUUCUAACAGUUAAUUCCCCAAACAGCCUGAACAUUGCCGACCAAUCACCCCUGGGCCAGUUUCAUUAACAAUAUGGUAUUGUCAUUUUAUCCAGCCACCUAACUGCUCGGAGCCAUUUUUGGAAGGGCGGAAUAUAAAUGAAAUAAACCGACCAACAAAUAAAUAAUGGUGCAGCGGGGAAGUUACUUGCCUAGGGAGGAAGAGGUUGCUGGUUCAAAAUCCCGCAGGUAUGUUUCCCAGAUUCUGUAGCGAUGUAGGAAGAUGCUGAAAGGCAUCAUCUCCUACUGCACCGGAGAUGGCAGUGGUAAACCCCUCCUGCAUUCUACCAAAGAAAACCACAGGGCUCUGUGGUCGCCAGGAGCCGACACCAACUCGAUGGCACAACUUUGUCAUUUUAUAGAUAUUCUCUUUUCUAUCUGCAUACAUCUUCAGAGAUUUUAUUACAUAUAUAUCUUAAGGUUUAUAGAUUUUGCUUGGAAAAAAUAGGAUAUCAAAAUACACUGGAAUAAUUCAUUUCCUCAGCAGCUAUUCUUGCAUUGUUGUUGUGAAAUUGCUUGUUGUGAAAUCCUCUUUUAAGAUGUUUAUUUUUGAAUUGAUAAUUUUACUGUGUAUACCCACUCCAACCCCACUUUUUUAAAUAUAAAGUUGUACCGAAGGCUGCUUACAAAUUCAAAAUUAGUCCUGUUGCUGAAAAAUGAAACAUAUACUACUUGUUGUCUUUUGGGGAGAUGCUUGGGAAAUAUUUAACCUCGGUCAACCAGUUAUUUCAUAUCAGGUUAUCUUGAAAUUGGGCUAGUUGACAGUAAGGGCUGUUUUGAUGCUGUGUGCCAGAUAUCAGCAGGUUGGGACAAAAUGUCUAAAUUUUGUUUAGCCCCUGGUGGCGCAGUGGUAAAACUGCCACCCUGUAACCAGAAGGUUACAAGUUCGAUCCUGACCAGGGGCUCAAGGUUGACUCAGCCUUCCAUCCUUCCGAGGUCGGUAAAAUGAGUACCCAGAAUGUUGGGGGCAAUAUGCUAAAUCAUUGUAAACCGCUUAGAGAGCUCCGGCUAUAGAGCGGUAUAUAAAUGUAAGUGCUAUUGCUAUUGCUAAAAGAUGUUAAUGUUCCAGUCUUAUGGCGAAGCACUGCCUGAUCCCUCUGCCAGUGGGCAUCACAAUCCCAUCCUUGUUGGCCUCCCCACAUUUGACCAUAUAUGGCUUCUUUAAAAGCCUUUCUAAAUAUGGCCUGCCUCUUUCUUCUGUCACAAUCACAGCCCCCCUCCCACUUCUGCGCACAUCAUAAUACUCCACUGUCCUCUGAGCCCAAAUAAAAGCAGCUCACCUUUGCUGAGUAGCUCAGUCUCCCUGCGGGGGCAGAGAGGAAACCAGUAGUGUUCCCUCUCUGCCCCCGUAGGUAGAGGAUGCCGAGCUGUACCCUUUCCCCCCUCUAGAUCCCUGCAGGCUCCCUCGGGAGCUCCUACUGGCCAUGACCGUUUGUCAUCGUCUAGCGUGUCCUAUUCGGGCACAAAGGCUGAAGCGGGGGUCUCCCCUUUCCCUGUAAGAAGAACCUUCCCAUGCAGCUCGAAGACCUUGCUCCCAAAGGCUAAGUCCUGUUGGUUGAGCCAUAGGUAGCUCAAGCUGUGUCUGGGCAGGAUCAUCCAUUGGUGGUCCUGCCCCGACACAGAUUGACCAAGGCCCACUGUUUAACCUGGCCGUGCAGGCCUGGCUGGUUGCCGCUUUUUGGAGCCGAGAAGGAAUUUUCCCCUGGGAGAUCUCUGGGUCCCCAGGUUUUUUGCCUUCUCUGCACGGCCUUCCUCUUGAGCUCUGCAAGCGCCUUGGCUUGCCACUGAAGAAGAGUCAACCAGUGGGUCUUUCCCCCUCCCACCCCUCCCCAAAUAAAAUAUAAAUAGAUUUGAA